GAUGAACGCUGGCGGCGUGCCUAAUACAUGCAAGUCGAGCGAACGGACGAGAAGCUUGCUUCUCUGAUGUUAGCGGCGGACGGGUGAGUAACACGUGGAUAACCUACCUAUAAGACUGGGAUAACUUCGGGAAACCGGAGCUAAUACCGGAUAAUAUUUUGAACCGCAUGGUUCAAAAGUGAAAGACGGUCUUGCUGUCACUUAUAGAUGGAUCCGCGCUGCAUUAGCUAGUUGGUAAGGUAACGGCUUACCAAGGCAACGAUGCAUAGCCGACCUGAGAGGGUGAUCGGCCACACUGGAACUGAGACACGGUCCAGACUCCUACGGGAGGCAGCAGUAGGGAAUCUUCCGCAAUGGGCGAAAGCCUGACGGAGCAACGCCGCGUGAGUGAUGAAGGUCUUCGGAUCGUAAAACUCUGUUAUUAGGGAAGAACAUAUGUGUAAGUAACUGUGCACAUCUUGACGGUACCUAAUCAGAAAGCCACGGCUAACUACGUGCCAGCAGCCGCGGUAAUACGUAGGUGGCAAGCGUUAUCCGGAAUUAUUGGGCGUAAAGCGCGCGUAGGCGGUUUUUUAGGUCUGAUGUGAAAGCCCACGGCUCAACCGUGGAGGGUCAUUGGAAACUGGAAAACUUGAGUGCAGAAGAGGAAAGUGGAAUUCCAUGUGUAGCGGUGAAAUGCGCAGAGAUAUGGAGGAACACCAGUGGCGAAGGCGACUUUCUGGUCUGUAACUGACGCUGAUGUGCGAAAGCGUGGGGAUCAAACAGGAUUAGAUACCCUGGUAGUCCACGCCGUAAACGAUGAGUGCUAAGUGUUAGGGGGUUUCCGCCCCUUAGUGCUGCAGCUAACGCAUUAAGCACUCCGCCUGGGGAGUACGACCGCAAGGUUGAAACUCAAAGGAAUUGACGGGGACCCGCACAAGCGGUGGAGCAUGUGGUUUAAUUCGAAGCAACGCGAAGAACCUUACCAAAUCUUGACAUCCUUUGACAACUCUAGAGAUAGAGCUUUCCCCUUCGGGGGACAAAGUGACAGGUGGUGCAUGGUUGUCGUCAGCUCGUGUCGUGAGAUGUUGGGUUAAGUCCCGCAACGAGCGCAACCCUUAAGCUUAGUUGCCAUCAUUAAGUUGGGCACUCUAAGUUGACUGCCGGUGACAAACCGGAGGAAGGUGGGGAUGACGUCAAAUCAUCAUGCCCCUUAUGAUUUGGGCUACACACGUGCUACAAUGGACAAUACAAAGGGCAGCGAAACCGCGAGGCCAAGCAAAUCCCAUAAAGUUGUUCUCAGUUCGGAUUGUAGUCUGCAACUCGACUACAUGAAGCUGGAAUCGCUAGUAAUCGUAGAUCAGCAUGCUACGGUGAAUACGUUCCCGGGUCU
rnacentral:rRNA from 1 species